rnacentral:rRNA from 1 species
AGUGAACGCUGGCGGCGUGCCUAAUACAUGCAAGUCGAACGGACAAGUAAGAGCUUGCUCUUAUGAGUUAGUGGCGCACGGGUGAGUAAUGUAUAGCUAAUCUGCCCUACACUAGAGGACAACAGUUGGAAACGACUGCUAAUACUCUAUACUCCUGUCUGACAUAAGUUAGAUAGGGAAAGUUUUUCGGUGUAGGAUGAGGCUAUAUUGUAUCAGCUAGUUGGUGAGGUAAUGGCUCACCAAGGCUAUGACGCAUAACUGGUCUGAGAGGAUGAUCAGUCACACUGGAACUGAGACACGGUCCAGACUCCUACGGGAGGCAGCAGUAGGGAAUAUUGCUCAAUGGGGGAAACCCUGAAGCAGCAACGCCGCGUGGAGGAUGACACUUUUCGGAGCGUAAACUCCUUUUGUUAGGGAAGAACAAUGACGGUACCUAACGAAUAAGCACC